rnacentral:lncRNA from 10 species
CAGGGCUUUGCAAGAGAAGGAAACAAGCAUGAGGACAUAACACAAUAUGCUGCUAGAGAGAAAAGCAGAGGGGAGAUUAUAAGACAUUGUGUGUCAAGACCAAAGAGGAUGGGCAUUAGCCAAGACCAGUGGAAAAUUCCUGGGAGAUUCAAGCAGGGCAGUGCCAUUGUGUUUCAGGAAAAUCUCUUGGCCUUUGUGGUUUGCAGGAGGUCAGAGUUGCCUACAAGGAGAAUGGGUGUUCCAGUCUUCCAGGCAAGAAAAGAUGACAGUCAUAACCAGGAGGUCACUGCAGGAGAAUGGGAGGAGGGCUGAGAAGUACCUUGGAGAUGGAGCCAAGAGAACUUGGUCCUGAAGAAAAGAGAUGGUGUCAGCAUAGAUGAAAUGAAAGGAACCCUUUCAGGCAUGAAGGGAAAGCUAACCAAGAGCUCACUCUGUGGAAGCUAAACAGUUAAUUCGCAAGAGGAAGCUGCUAAUCAAAUGAACAAGUGUGAAGUGAAAAUGCCAACCCCAGUGAAGACGCAGCCAAAGCUGGCAAAGGCAAAUGGAGAAAACGCAGGCAGCAUCAGUGAGCUGUUCCUGGAAAUGGAGUCUAACUACAUUAACGCAUUCAGACAGAGGGAAACAGAUGGUCGGUGUGAUGUCCUCAGUCACUUCACAAGCUGGAUAAAUAAUUGUUGCCAGGGAAGGAAUAAUAAAAGCAGGAUUUUGCCAACAUGAGCUGUUGCCCUGGCCUUUGGUUCCGGGAGUGCUUCUGGAGGUUUUUCCAACAGAUUUUUCAAGGAAGCAAAAAAGACAGCAAAUUACUAAGAAUGAAAUUCACUUUUUAAUUUUUCCCACUGAGUCUUCGUCAACGGAUAAUCCCUACCUAUCAAGACAUAUGACAGUUCUCUCUCAUUUCAAUGUUGUAUGCAUAAAAAGCAGCAAAUUCAGAACCUUCAUGUGAAAUGGAAUUGUAAAGGACUCUGGCUGCAACGCUAUUUGUUGAUAAAGCAAAAAUUGAUUUUCAACAGAAGUUAGAAUGAGGAAAGUCAAAUUUGGAGGACAGUGUAAAACCUCUAACAUUUUCAUGAGCUUUGAAGGUAGACUCUGCUGUUCAGAGAUUGCUCAAGACUAAACUGGUCCCUGCCGAGGUAUCUAUGGACUAGACUGGAACACGGAUAACAAAUACCUGCUGGGUUUGCUGCCACUACUACUUAAUCCUUCCUCUAUAGCUGGCAUUGCUAAUCACUCAUGACACUUUCCUGCUGAGCCCACAUGUAGACUCAGAUGGCUACAGGCAGUAACCACCAAUUGAUCAGAGCUGGCACACAAGAUGGAACCUAUUUGCAAUCCCUGGUCUAGAACAUUGUACCAUCUCUACUGAGCUGCUGCUUUGGGACUGACUUUACCAGGAGGCUCACCACAGGGGGUUGGAGUAGUCCUAGAAGGUGAAUAAAUGGCAGAGCCCACAUGGCAUACAAGAGGACAAGGUUUGUCACUCACAGGUUCUGGAAGGAAAGGUACAAGGAGCUGACAUGAACCUGAUUUUUAACCUGAAGCAGACAGAGUUGGGACCAGCUGGCCUGCAGUCCUGUGAGCAAGAAAUCGAUGUGCAUACUCAUGAGUAAACCAUAAACAUUUGCUGUUAUAACCCAGGAAGCUUUGGGAGUUGAUUUUUAUGUGGUGUUAUGGCAACAAUUGUUGAUGAAUGUGGGUAUACAGUAUUGGAAGUUCUCAUGUGUCUUUGAUGGCCAGCCUCUCAGUGCUUACAGAGCUCCUCAGCCUCACCAGAUAUUUCCCACUUGAAUAAUGAAGUUGUAUGGUUGGGAAUAGACAUUUUGGCUAUUUGGGUCAAUAGGUUUAGGACCUUUGGAGGAUUCAAGACUGGUAGAAAACCACAGCAUGGUCUAAGAUGCAGGUGUUCAUGCCUGCAGGUAAGUAGAUGCAUCAUUAACUUCAAUAAUAAUAAAUAAAAUUUAAAGAGAUUUUUCGAUUAUCAUAAACUGAAUGAACUAAAAUUAACUUUCUAACAAAUAGCCACAAAUUUCUAGCGUGUUUAUCUUUCCCAUAUGUUUCCCAGCUCUGCUAAGUUGGAAGCCUCAAAACCAUCAACCAAUAAAUCAUUCCUUGGGUUUCACUUUGGGGACCAAUUAAAACUAUCAACAUGUUUUCUUCCAUUACACUGGGAGUUUUAUCUCCAGCUGUUGGGAUCUGAGCUUCUAAAAGUAUGAAGCAUGACUACCCAGGGAAAAGGCACGUGAGACAAUUGGAGGAAAAUAGACUCUAUUGAAAGCUAGUUUAUGUAAGCUUAGUGCUUCCACCCUCCUCACUUCAUUCAGAAGGCACAAGCUUUACUAAACAUGUGGUAAAUAAUACAGCUGGCACCACAGCAGGAAAGGUGCUGCCCCUAAACCUGGAGGGAGAGCUCCUGGCAGAUAAUCCAAGGGCUGGUAAUUUAUCACUUAUGCAAACACAGCACCUCUUGUGGGUCUCCUUUUACAUCUCCUGUUCUGUGAAACUUUCCACUGAAGACUUGGAUAAAUGUUUUCCAGAUGGUAUCAAUCAUGGAGUUACCUACUAAUAGGAAUCAAGGAAAAGUCAUUGAAUUAAUUAGCAAGUCAAACAGGAAAGGAAGAAGGACUGUGCUUGAAAGUAGAAAAAGAAGAGACCACUUGGAAUUAUCUAAUCAUCUAGAAACAAGGUCAUUCAGGAAAAGGGGGCUUGAUUAAGCAUCAGGAAACCUGAGACCUGGCCAACAGCCUGGUUCCUCCAAAUCACAGGCUUUGGAGUCUAACAGAUAGAGGUUAGAAUCUCAGCUCAGUCUCUAACUAUGCAUAGUGGGCAAGAUUCUUGGCCUCUCUGAGCCUCUGUUUCCUCAUAUGCUAAGGGAAAAAAGGAUGAAAUAUGCAAACUAUGUAAUACCAUUUUACAGACUUAGAUGUGUAGCAUGUGAAGCACUUAGCAAAGUGGCUACCAAUAGGCGGCACUUAAAAAAAAAAUUCUUUACUCUCACCUGUGAUCAGUUAAAUGAUUGGAAAACUAUUCACCCCUGUCUGAAACUACACCAUUGCCAUGAUCACAUCUUGAGCAGAGUGCACUUUCCCACUCCUUGCUUUGGGCUGACUACAUGAUUUGCUUAGACCAAGCAAUGUGGGUGGAAGUGACAAUGGGCUCGUUUUUAGACCAGGACUUAAGAGGCAUUAUGUUUCUACUUGCCCUUUGCACCUCCCCCAUCACCACAAGAAAAAUAUACCCAGGCUGUCUUGCUGGUCCAAGAAGGAGGAUAAAAGACACGAGAAGCAAAGCUGCCAACCCCAGGAAGCAAAGCUUCCAAACCCCUCCCAACACGAAGACAUGCGAGUGAUAAUAAAUAAUGGUUGUUUUUAGCCACUGAGUUUUGACGUGGAUUAAUUUCAGCUGCUGUAUCUCACAGAUUAUGUUAUCUCACAUUCCUUCUCUGGGUUCUAAUUGCAUAUCUGCUCAGGACUUACUAAAUGAAUAUCUUUUACAAUGCUGAUAUUAGAGGUAAGGCCCAGAAAAUGGCAAGCUAAAGAUGUCCCAGAAACUUCUACCGUAUAGUUGGCUUAAAUCUUAAACUCCAAACUUAGAUGUGUAAGAAAAGUAAUUUAACUUGGUUAUGACAAGACCUUUUUAUUUUUUAACAGUUUUAUUACAAAUCCCCUAUUUUGCUGGUUAGCAGAAACAUCUCUCAGUCAAUUCAGGGUUUCUCCUCCCUUAAGGAUUGGGUUUAACUUUAGGAGGCUCUGCAUGAUGAGGAGGUGGAAGGUGUUGGGAGGGAGAACCAGGGCACUGUCGUUCCUGUUGUUGAUCUCUGCAGUGCUCUCUCUUGGUCUACGUAAGUGAGGAUCUAAAAUCUGAUUCAUUCUUGGGUAAUCUUCUUUUAGAAGCCCAUGAUUAGACCCAACUGGAGGAAGUUUGGAGCUUCUCUCAGACAUGUAAGAAUUGUUCUGAAGAAUCUGCAUCUUGUUGGGUGAAGGACUUCAGAAUGUGCAAUAAAAAUGCAAUAGUCUUGGACCUAUGUAACUGGAAGGAACUGGUGGACAAGCUCUUACUGCUUCUCCAGGUUCUCACAAGAAAGCAGGCAUGGAUUCCUUUUGCACAGCUCCUCCAGGCUUUCUGGGCCCUGUCAUUCCUUCUUCUAUCUUCUGGGUUGAGCAACAUGCAAUCUCCCCUUGUGCAGAAGCCCAAAUAGCUACUGAAAAUGUGUCCUCUCUGACUUUCCCCAUUUCUUGAACUCUGAGAGACUUUUUCUAGUAUCAGUUCUGAGGAGCAUUGCUGUUUUCCUUCCUAUCAUCUGGAAGACCUAGACUUUAAAACUCAAAACCUGAGAAAAACUUCCUUUUUUUUCUCUCUUUUGUCUGGAUCAUCACUACCUUGAAAUACUAAAUUAGCAAAGUCCUAACUAGAAACUGAAUUGGCUAAAGAGUCAAGGAGCAACAGGUAAUUCCAAGAAAAACAACAGCAAACUUACAUCAGUUAACAUUUCAAAGCUAUUUUCCUUUGCAAUUUUGUGUAUCUGUUUUUAUGGAAUGCAAGAGAUAAUAGGCUAAAUGCUAUUUUGCAUAUGUGUUACAUUGGAUUUCUCACAUAUUCUACUACUUAACUCAAGAUGUUGAGUAAAUAAAUGAGUUAAUAAACUGGAAUUUCUAUAUCAGCUCUUGGUUCUAGUUAUGUUUCGUUUGUUUUGGAUUUUUUUUCUUUUUGAAUGCUUAUUCACUGGCCCAGCUGUAUUUAUGCCUAGAUUAACCAGAUACAUUGCCA